rnacentral:rRNA from 1 species
GACGAACCUUGCUAACGUUAUUCGGAAUUACUGGGCUUAAAGGGUGCGUAGGCGGUGCAGAAAGUUGGGUGUGAAAGCCCUCGGCUCAACCGAGGAAUUGCGCCCAAAACUGCUGCACUAGAGGAAGACAGAGGUACGCGGGAACUUAGGGUGGAGCGGUGAAAUGCGUUGAUAUCGGAAGGAACACCAGUGGCGAAAGCGGGCUCCUGGUCCAGCACCGACGUUCAGGCACGAAAGCGUGGGGAGCAAACAGGG